rnacentral:rRNA from 1 species
GAUGAACGCUAGCGGCAGGCCUAACACAUGCAAGUCGAGGGGCAGCACAGAAACAGCAAUGUUUUGGUGGCGACCGGCGGACGGGUGCGUAACGCGUAUGCAACCUACCUUUAACAGGGGGAUAACGGAGAGAAAUUUCCACUAAUACCCCAUAACAUCGAUCAAGGCAUCUUGAUUGGUUGAAAACUCCGGUGGUUAAAGAUGGGCAUGCGUUGUAUUAGGUAGUUGGUGAGGUAAUGGCUCACCAAGCCUACGAUACAUAGGGGGACUGAGAGGUUAGCCCCCCACACUGGUACAGAGACACGGACCAGACUCCUACGGGAGGCAGCAGUGAGGAGUAUUGGUCAAUGGGGGCAAUCCUGAACCAGCCAUGCCGCGUGCAGGAAGACGGCUCUAUGAGUUGUAAACUGCUUUUAAACAGGGAUAAAGCACAGUAUGUAUACUGUGUUGAAGGUACUGUAAGAAUAAGGAUCGGCUAACUCCGUGCCAGCCGCCGCGGUAA